GGAGGAAGCUCUCAGUCUGCUGGCAGUGUGCUGCCGGAUUGUGGUGUCCUCUCCUUGCAAGGGGCAGGUGACAAGGAGAAGGAAGGCAGCGAGGGCAGCUGAGAACAUGCAGUCCCUGCACAGGGGAUUGCUGCAGGAUCUGGGCCAGCUGAUGGAAACCCUCCUGGAGGCAGAGAGCAGCUCUGCCAGCUUGGAGGAUGUGCUCCACGUCCUGCAGGGCUGGCUCAGAUCCGGCAAGGAACAGGAGAAGGAGAGAGCCCUGUGGCUUUGUGCGCGUGU